rnacentral:tRNA from 1 species
CGCGGGGUGGAGAAGUUGGUAUCUCGUCAGGCUCAUAACCUGAAGAUCGGUGGUUCAAGUCCGCCCCCCGCAACCA